GAUGAACGCUGGCGGCGUGCUUAACACAUGCAAGUCGAGCGAAGCACUUUACUUGGAUUUCUUCGGAAUGACGAGUAUUGUGACUGAGCGGCGGACGGGUGAGUAACGCGUGGGUAACCUGCCUCAUACAGGGGGAUAACAGUUAGAAAUGACUGCUAAUACCGCAUAAGACCACAGCACCGCAUGGUGCAGAGGUAAAAACUCCGGUGGUAUGAGAUGGACCCGCGUCUGAUUAGCUGGUUGGUGGGGUAACGGCCUACCAAGGCGACGAUUAGUAGCCGGCCUGAGAGGGCGACCGGCCACAUUGGGACUGAGACACGGCCCAAACUCCUACGGGAGGCAGCAGUGGGGAAUAUUGCACAAUGGGGGAAACCCUGAUGCAGCGACGCCGCGUGAAGGAAGAAGUAUUUCGGUAUGUAAACUUCUAUCAGCAGGGAAGAAA
rnacentral:rRNA from 1 species